UUGAACUUUGACCUAGGAAGUUGUACAUACAUUAUGACACACCCUCUGGUGUUGGUUAAUAUACAUAUCAAGUAUAAACUUUGAAAUCAUAACGGUUCUCAAGAUAUAAAGCGGACACGAUCUUUACCAUAGGACAUGGGGUUGUCAACAAAAACCAAAGUUUUUGACCUUGACCUUUGACCUAGGAAGUUGUACAUACAUUAUGACACACCCUCUGGUGUUGGUUAAUAUACAUAUCAAGUAUAAACUUUGAAAUCAUAACGGUUCUCAAGAUAUAGAGCGGACACGAUCUUUACCAUAGGACAUGGGGUUGUCAACUAAAACCAAAUUUUUGACCUUGACCUUCGACCUAGGAAGUUGUACAUAAAUUAUGACACACCCUCUGGUGUUGGUUUAUAUACAUAUCAAGUAUAAACUUUGAAAUCAUAACGGUUCUCAAGAUAUAGAGCGGACACGAUCUUUACCAUAGGACAUGGGGUUGUCAACUAAAACCAAAUUUUUGACCUUGACCUUCGACCUAGGAAGUUGUACAUACAUUAUGACACACCCUCUGGUGUUGGUUUAUAUACAUGUCAAGUAUAAACUUUGAAAUCAUAAC